rnacentral:lncRNA from 1 species
CCAGAGCUCGUUAGUGUUGAGGACGCGCAUGCCUUCAGUUUGGAUGCAAAAGAUAAAUCAGAAGCCCGAGUACUGCAAUGAAAAAUAAAAAGAAAAAAAAAAGAUGUUUUCUCCUCAUGACCAAAGAGGACGAAAAAGGUGGUCUCUGUUCUUCUUCAGUCUUUGAGGGACCCGUCCACUCGAAAUUGUCCGCGUACGCCUUGACCCACAGAAUGAGAAAUUUCAGAACAGAUUAGACUUCAAGCUUAAGUGACCCUAAAAAAGGAAGAAAUGGUACAUCAGAGCAGUACGUACCAUCACUUGCUAUGAAAUGGACAUUUCACUGAUAAUAACUUGAUGAAUAAAGAAAGAUCAGACGACAAAGUUUUACGCAAUCUAGCUUAACCCAAUGACGAGGCUACCAUGCAAGAACGACAAACGAAAAUGCUUCUUAAAAAUACAGCAGAGAUUUUUGCUUAAUGACCAAAGAGAACUAAUGAUACCUCCGCAAAGGGCGUACUGGCAGUUGCCAUGAAAGGAACACCUCCUAUGGAAGGAACACCAUCCAUGAAAGGAACACGUCACUGAUAACAAUCAGAUAACGAUCAAUAACAAAAGCCUCGAUGACAAAAUUUUAUCCAAUCUAGCUUUCACCCGAUCAUGAGACUACCAUGCAAGAAGUAAAUUUUGUAAAGAGAGCUUCAAUUUAUUCAAACAGGACUAUAAAAAUGAGAUCGAAAGAUUGAUUUAUCUACAGCAUGCUUAGAUUGGCGAAGGAAAAAAAAAUACUUAGAUAAAUUUAUCUACAGUAUGCUUAGAUAAAUUUCUGACUCUCAUCUCGGUUCCAUCAAAAAUUCUGCCCCAAAAUACAAUCAGAAUAUUCUCUUUUACAGCCUUCCUUUAAUAGCAAGUAAGGUGAAAAAAAUAGCAACAAAAAACACUAGAGAAGAAAAAGAAUUUGCAAAAGAUAGAAUUUUCAAAGAAAGAGAAAAGAAAUCGCUUAUUUUCAAAUGCUUAGAACUCAUGACAUAAAAGAAGCUAGGUUAUUUGAUUGAUUGACCACGAAGGGGAGCAAAAAGAAAAUAAAGAAAAUAAAAAAUAACUAAAAUAUCAACAAUCAUUGCAUGUGCCUCAUGAUCACGUGUGCGAGCCCGGUUACACAAUUGCGUGCAUAUGUGGUAUAAAACUUACUUCUAUCCAUAGCCCAAGUAAAGGCGGACAAAGGAAGAUGGUUUAUAAACAUCAAGAAACAAUUGUCUCUUUCCAAUGUGAAAUGAAAAAAAUCUUAUAAAAAAAAAACGAAAUUUUCCCACCAAAAACUCCAACAAAUGCUACUUAAACAUACAGCAGAGAUUCAAGCUUAUUGACCCAAAAGAGGAACUUAUGAUGCCUCAGAAAAGUACGUAACGGCACCUGUUAUGAAAGAAACACGUCACAAGGGAACACUUACCUGAUAAUAAUUUGAUAAGUAAUGAAAUCCUAAACCACAAACUUUUACGCAAUCUAGCUUCAUCCAAUUAAUCACGAGGUUACCAUGCAACAACGACAAACGGACAAGCUUCUUAACCGUAAAGCUUAAAAACUUUUAGGCACUUGCACGCAAUCUAGGCCAACAUAGAAUUUUGCGACUGUUGGAAACAAAACAACAGUUUGGUCCCAGAGAUUACUUAAAUUUUAAAAGAUCAGCAAACGGAAAGAACCAUCUCAAGAUCUUUUCAGAAUCCAUGUCUUCAGCGGGCACAUAACUGAUAUUGGAUAACCAACCAGCUACGUGUUGCAAGAACCAUGACUUGUCCUCUGGAGUCUGCCAUGGAUCACCUAGCGGACAAGCAACAAACCCUGUGCAUUUGUAAUUAAAUAAGUGUGACCACUGACCAUGGCAUUGUGAACAUCUGUUGUCAUUUUAGUUGUUAACAUCAUUAGCACAUCUGAAAGGAUGAACAAAGUAUCUCUUUAAUCAUAAAACUUGCAGCCAAGUAAUCUCAUCCCCGAAUGAAAAAAUAGCAUAACAACAAAAAGAAAUUGGACCUGACCAAUGCACGAAAUUGGACCAGACUCUACCUGGAGAAAAUUUCCAACAUCCACUUUCCAAUGAUAGAAAAUUAAAAUUGUCUUUCCAUUCUAGCUAAAGCAAGCAUAUUGCUUGAUUGUUCUCUUAGAGUGUCACAUAAAUGUAUUUGGCUUAAAGCAUGAACACAGCCUGCAAUGCCUGCUUUUCAGUUAGUCAUCUUCCAAUUGUGGAUAACUUUGAGACACAAAAAGAGGCUCCACUUUCCCUUCAAUUUUGUUUUAAAAUUCUUAAUUCAAAUGUCCAUUUCUUGAGAAACAUCACUCUAAAGGUCCUUAUCGGCAAGAAUCCACAUCAGCAAUACUAGCCACACCAUGGGCCAGAUAUGUCUCCAGAAACGGUAAUCAGCGAAAUUUGGAUUGCCUCACCUUGUGUGGACAUUCGAGACAAGCAGGCUCUGAAGACAUCAACAGCUUAUACUUAUGACUCUACACUGAGUAAAUAAACAAAUAAAAGAUUUCCGCAUCCGACAACAAAAUACGUACAGCUCAUUAUCCAACAACUGAUAAUGCCACAAACUUAACAUUGAACCACCAAGACAGACCCAAAUAUUAAGUCAGAUGUAUGGAUCAGAAUGUGCAACAAUCAAAUGGGACAUAAUCUGCCUGCCUGUCUACCCAAUACCAACAUCAUUUGAAUAAGAGCCAAUUACAACUAUCCUGGAUGAGACUAUGGACAAGAGAGCUGCACAAUGAAAAAUUGUGCUACCUAGAGUCUAGACAUUUCAAUUAUUUUUUCUUAUACAGAUACUUGGAUUCUUGUACAUCUGAUGGCAAACCUUGAGACUAUAUAUCAGUGAAGCAUCAUGUUGCCAUUGUUGAAAUAUCUACUUUUGGCUUUUAUACCUGAAAGUUUUCAAGUCUAGCACAAAAUCUUGAAGUGAGUCAGGGGUUGUUCCAGUGGUCACACCCCUCUGCUUAGCAACCAGAUGUUUUGGGUUGGAAUCUUCGCACCAAAAAACAGAGCAUCCAGAAAAUUUUUUGUCGAGCCUAUCAAGUUAUAGAGCAAUUGGUCCAACAAGUUAUUCAGUAGAUAUAUAAAUUUGCACAUAUUUUCUCUCAAGAAAAUUAAGUUUGCAUAUAUUCAUCACACAUCCUUGUGAUAUGGAUGUGUCCUCAUACCUGAACUCUUCUGAACAAUUGAGACUAAUGUCAUGUUUGUUGGUAACAUUGCCAUGAGACCAAGAAGGCAAAACAAUAAACAGUAAGGUGGAUCAGUCCAAUUUGCCAUUUACAUUCAUUGCAACUCAGGAGCAACCUCCAAGAUUCUCCUAGACUUGGAACGGGUGUAGAUAUGAGGGCAAGGUCUGACAAUGUAGAUGCAUAAAUUGGAAGACAGUUAAUUGAAAUAUGGGCUCUAUACUUCCAACGGACAAAAAUUGUGGGUAGUCUAUGAAUACACAACAUUUGAUUAACCAUUUAAGAUAUAGAAAAGGUGGGCCAGACUACCAGCAUUGCCAUAACACUUCCACUGUAAUCAAAGAAACCAGACCUACCACAAAUGGUCUGAUGAAAGUAAAAGGUCUUUGGGAAUAAUUCAGAUGCACACAUCAUAGAUCUUAUGAGAUAGACAUAGCUGUUGCUUAACAUCAGAUGAUUGAGCAACACCAAUCACCAGCAAAAUGGUUGGCUCAUGAGUCAUGAUCAAAUUAUAGGGAUUUGAAUCCAAAAACAGCAAACAUUUGACAUCAAUGACCAGUGAAAUGAAGGUACAAACCUUCCCUCUGCCCACCUCACAUAUAAAUAAUGACUAGAAAAGGCAUCUGUCUACUGGAUCCACUCUGGUUUUUUGUGUAUGCUUUGGAUCAUCAUUCCUAAUGCCAAUUAAUCAUGUUUUUGCAUCAUAUCAAGAUUGUUUGGCAUUCACCAAUUUGUUUGCACUUCUUAAGAAAUCUUAAUCGAUCAUUGGUUGCUCUACAAUCUGCCAAGAAUAAUUGAUUCGAUCCUAAAUUUCUUCAAAUGUGACACAUGCCUGAAUUAUUUCUUAUGUCAUGGUUUUUAUAUGAUAUGUGGCAUCAUUUCUCUGAUUGACUUUUUAGCCCCAAUAUAAGGCUCCUUUUAGUCAACUUUUUUGGUGAUGUCUCAUUAUCCUACUUGUUGAAUUAUACAGGUGUAGAGCUUGGCAGAGCACUAGGCUGGUCAGUUCUCAAGUGAGAUAGUGUGUCUGCUCCCUCUAAUGUUGUGUAUAAGGUCUUUUUUGCAUGUAUAUAUUCUAAAUUUGCCUUUUCGCAUCCUUUUCGCACGUAUACAGUUGUAAACUUGCAAUUUAUAUGUACAACCUUGUAAUUGCUUGUCAUCUGUCCUAUGACAUUGGAUUAAAUGAUUAACUAUAAUUCAGUUGGGUUAAAAGACAACUCAGCCUACAAAAUUAUGACUACCUCUUGUUUGACACUAGUAUUUAUGAUAUUUCAAAGGACAUUUAAGCAAAUGCACAAGGCAAAUUUAGACUUCUUGCUGCUAACAGACAUCUUUCUAUUCCUAAACAGCUUAUCAACCAGAAAGUGUGUACACCAAAAGGCUACUUGCAUAAGUAUACUAGCCGACAAUAAAUUACAAGGUUAUAUAGCUGAAAAACCAUGCCUCAGUUCCAACACAACAGAGAUGGUGGAUUGAUAUCGUAAUCUCCAGAGACAAACAUUCCAGGACAUUGUUAUAUGCUACCACCCAUUCUGCAACACAUGCAGAAGAACAACAAUGCUUCCAUAAUCCGUACCGCAUUUCAGUUGUCUUCACAACUCAAAGAAGCUCUCUUCUCAGACACAACCUACUUAGGUAACCUGGACCAUAGAGAGUUCUACAUGUUUUUUAACCAAAUGUUCAUGUCAUUUGUUCAUACCUUAACAAGGAGUACCCAUUCAGGACCAUUUCAUAAAGCAUUAGUUAGUUAUUUAAUAGUCAUUAAAUGAAAUAUUGUCCAAUGUGGCAGUUCUCUUGUUUGCUCCUCUUCAGAACUCCAUAUUAUUUAAUUUUAUUAGAUAUAGCAGCAAAUCAUAUGACACAUUGUUGUUACAGUUUAAAGAUUUCCUUUAUCACAGUUCAUGCAUACCUAGAUUUCUAGGAUAAGCUACAUGCACACUGACAAGCUUCUAGGACCCAUAUGUACUUGACCCAAGUUUUUACAAAUUUUCUAAGUUAUACAACACUUGAUAAUGUACUUAGACAUUCUCCAUAUUCUUGAUAAUAAUUCAUUACAUAUCAAUAGGUCACAGUUUCUCAAUAAAAACAGGAUAGUACUGAACUAAUCAUAAAUGAGGAGGGAUAUGCACAUGGAGAAUAUGGCCCUACUAGAUUAUUUAUCGCAUUUAUUAGCUACAGAAGCAACAAGAACAUCCUGAAAAAUCAUGAUCUUUUUGAAGCAAACAAUCUUUGAUAAUUUGUUUUCAAUUUAGCAUCGCAAUGGCAUCAAGUAAUUGUAAAUAGCAGAAGAUGCUUGAGGAAAGAAUAACCGACCUUCAAAAGAGGUGUAUGAUGCCCCCUCGCCUGCACAAGAGAUAACAGCAAAAAUGCAAAUAUCAAGAGAUAAAUAUAUCUACUAAUUUU